rnacentral:rRNA from 1 species
UACGAAGGGGGCUAGCGUUGUUCGGAAUUACUGGGCGUAAAGGGCGCGUAGGCGGCCUGCUAAGUUGAACGUGAAAUCCCUGGGCUCAACCCAGGAACUGCGUCCAAGACUGGGAGGCUUGAAUCCGGGAGAGGGAUGCGGAAUUCCAGGUGUAGCGGUGAAAUGCGUAGAUAUCUGGAGGAACACCGGUGGCGAAGGCGGCAUCCUGGACCGGUAUUGACACUGAGGCGCGAAAGCCAGGGGAGCAAACGGG